ensembl:lncRNA
GUAUCUGCCCCUGACCCUCAUCUUGGGGGGUAAGAUGGGGGUGCAGGGGUUAGUGGAGGGCUAAGGAAGAGAUUCCAUGAGUAUGAACCAUAGCAGCCCCAGAGCCAUCCUAGAGCAGCGCCAUCACUGCCCACGGCCCAUGGCCAGCAGCAGUUCCACCACAAGCUGUGUGUUGGGUCAAGGCAGCUCCUAGGUGUUGCUCUGCUUCAUAGCUGCCCCAAAGUGCCCCUGUAGCCCUCCCAUAGGUGUCCUUUAACUGCCCCACCACCCCGUAAGGCUUCCCCACGUCCUAGCACAUCCCCCAGGUGCGUGCAGGGUGUGCAAGAAACGCUCUCAUCCCUGAUAUUCCAUCAGGCACAGCUCUUCGUGCAGCAGCAAAGCUCCUUCCUGAUUGCUGUGGCGUUACUUCACUCUCCUCAGUGAGUUCCUUCUGCUCCCGUUGGGUUGGUUGAGUUGGGUUGGUUGGGAUGAGGUGGGGGCAGGGAUCCCAGAGUUCUGGGGCCACAUGGCAUCGGGUCGCAGCGUGUUGGGGGCAGGAAGGGUCAGGGAGUCACAGGGUCUUGUGGGGGUGUGGUUCACCCAGGGCUGUGGGUCACGUAUAGCCAUGGGGUCAUGCACAUACAGGGUGAUGAGAUCAUCUUGGCUUAAGGCUCAUGUGGGGUUACGGCUCAGGGCCCCACCUUUGGGCUGCAUGGACCCCCAGUCCCCUCUCAGGAAGAAAUGAAACCCCUCCUACACCGCUGCCCCCUUCCCCCCCUUUUUUUUUUUUUACCUCAAACUGCUCCCCACAUCCUCCCAUAGCACCCCAUACUCCCGCGUCCCUCUUGCAGCCCACAUCUUGUCUUCUCCUGAACAGCAUUCUGCUCCUGCAGGCUGUGUUGUCAUAUCCAUUCUAUAUCCCCCACAACCUCUCCCACAGACCCACAUAGCUCCUCAAGUACUUUCUCUGACCUGGUACACCUCCCCCACCGCCAACCUGGGACCUCGCAGAGCCCCACAGUCCCCAGCAGCACCCCACGUCCCCCACGGUUCUUCAAGGAUCCCUCCGAUUUGAGGGAGGCUCAGACCUCCCUUUAUGCCUCAGACCCCUCCUGUGUUCUCCGACUCCCACAGUCCCUGACAGGACCCCCAUCACCAUCCCAGGACCCCCAUAGCCCACUGAUGAGGAACCCCGCAGCAAUCCACAUCUCAGGAUGGGGCUCCAGCUUUGCCCCAAUGCCUGCAUUAAAGAGAGGAGAAUGAAUGAGCGUAACGGGGCACCUUUCCUCCUGACAUUACCAACUGCCUGCGUGUUGGCUGUGCCACGUGAGCGGCAUUUUGUCCUCGAGCUGUGAGUGCAGGUAUGUGUGCAUACGGGGGUGUGCAAAGAUGGUGCUGAGCAUGAGUGUGCACUGCACGUGGGCGUGUGCACGGUGUCUGUGGGUGAAAGUUUUGCACGUGUGUGCGUGCAGAUGGCUGUGUGCAAGGCUGGAGCUGCGCUCGUGUGUUUGUGCACGUGGGUGUGCAGAAGGAUGGUGUGCACGCAUGUGUGUGUAUGCAUGAACACGAAUGCGUGCAUCAAGGUCUUUGCACAAGGCUUUUGGGUUUUGCACACACUUGCGUGCACACGAAUUGAGUGCGCACACAGGGCUGUGCAAGGAUGCGCUUGCACGUGUGUGAAUGCACAGGCGUGUGUGCGGGGAAGUCUUUGCACGUGGGUGUAUGGUUCUGCACAUUUCUGUGCACACAGAUGCGCGUGCAAGGGGGCAAUGGAGGCUCCUGGGAACGGGAGAUUUCUGGGGGCGGCGGAACUCCCGCCAGAGUGCUGGAGAGCACAGGGCCGGGAAGCACAGCUCCGCAGCAGUGCGCUCUGCACAACAGCCUGCAGGACGGCACGGAGCGCUGACAGAACCAGGACACAGCGCCAUAGCAGGCACUGCAAAGGAAACAGCUCCAUUCCAGCUGGAACAGUGACAGGCAGGCAGGCACUGGGGAGGGCUGCACGGCAGAGGGACGCCCUCUGUGUGCCACACCAGGAGAACCUGGAGUGCUGUCUGUAAGCAGAACAGUGCCAGGAUGGCGGCCUGGCGGUCCUAAGCUGCAGAGAUGCUGCUCUGGACCAACAGCCUGUCACUUUCUGAGAAAACGCCGUCCUUUUGAUGAACUUUGCUCAUUAUACACUCGUCAUCAAAGCCAAAAACACUCAGUGCUGCCCUGGGAAACUCAGCCAUCUGCACAGCGUUGCUCUCCAAGUUAGCACGCUCGUGGCCAGGCUUUGUUCCUCGCAGCUCUCUGCACGUGCUUUGCAGACAGUCUGUUUGUGGGCAGUGCAAAGGACUGCUGCCUCCGCUGCAUCACUGGAUGGCAGCAUUCGCUGACGGAGCUGUGGGAGUUCUGAGUGAGCGCUGCGAGACCAAUAAUGAGGAGGUGGUGCAGCAGCUCUCCGAGUGCCGCUGGACAAAUGAGGCCGUGCGCUCUGUGUGAAUCUCUCAUUGUGACUGGUUUUUAUUGACUCCAUCUGAAGUUGGAGGGCCGAGUUGGACGGCACUCGCAGCGCUGCCCUGUAACGCCGCGCACUGCAGCCGCUGCCUGCUGACGCUCCUCCUCUCAGUCCUUCAGCUGCAGCUUCUGCAUCAUCUCCACAAGGCUGUUCACUGCGGAGGCCUGGAAAGAAACGGAGCGAGGGUAGAAACAGGACACCUCUUCCCUCGGGAAUUUACAGUCUCUUUCUUUCAUGUCUGACAGACAGAGGCCCUGAGAACAACCAGAGCCGUGUCUGCCUUCACCAAGGACUCACCUCUGCACGUGCAGCGGCAGCUCUGAGGGCAGCCUUCAUCGAUUCCCCUCUCCUCUCUUUCUCUUGGCGUCUUCUCGCUAGAAAGCAAGAAUAAACAUGAAUGCAUUUUGUCAGCAGCACAACUGCAGAAACAGGGGUGCCGUACAGGCAGAAGGCAGCAAAAAAACAGAGGAAACGGGACUAGGAAGUUUCCCAGUGAAUGACAUUUCCAGGGGGAUGUGCAGAAGACCACCAUGGAGUUAAUGGAAGGAGACGGGGUUACGUGUUCUGGCACCUCACUGCCUUUGGACUUUGUAGCCUUCCACUCUUGUCCCCUCCACAGAGAAGGAAAAAGCAAAGCGAACCCUGAGCAAACUCAGUGUGCUUGAAAAGGGCAGCAGCUCACCAGGGUGGGUCCCACAGCACCUUCUCACCUCUUAGCUUGGAGCUCCGCACUGCAGCAGGCCCAGGGUGUGCUGCUGGAGCUGGCACGCUGUCUCCGCUCGGCCCCCUCACUCUUUUGUUAGCAGGCAGCUGCGCUGCUGUUGGCUUCGCUUCUUCCAAGCCUUUGCGUUUACAUCCAGCCAAGGACUUGGAGACAGAGCGGGGGCACACGGCAGGGGAAGGUCUUCCCCCUGUGUUGGGACCUGCUGUUGUAGGAAGCCCUCCAGCCUGGAGAUGAGCUCUCUCCAGAAGGACUUCCUGCACCGCUUUUGCGUAGAUCUUUCCGUUGGGCUCGGCACCUCUCUCUGUGAUAAUCGGGAAAGGAGAAGCAACAACAUUGAAAGAGAGUCCUUGCAGUCCUUGCGGUCUGCAGAAUGGGCCAUCAUGCUAGGAUGUCUCGAGUGCUCACGGUAAGGGAUCUUAGGAUCUUGGGUGAACGUUGGGUUCCCAGCACGGAUGUGCAGUGCCCUUUCCUCUCCCCUCCAUCGCACACACUGCCCUUCAUGCAGCCCUAUUUAGAGGCGCAUACCCAUAGCACAGCUCACAUGAGCUUCUUACCUGCGGAGGCUUUCCGUUUCCCCCCUUGCCCAGCACCACUCCAUGGACGCGCAGGAUCCAUCCCUACAGAAACAUUGUAAAAAAUCAACAACGUUGAUUUCACAGGCACCAGCAGGCGGCAGCAGAGAUAUCAUGCAGUAAGCCCACGUCCCCCCAGGAAACAGAAAGAUGCUACUUUGACAGCCCAAACACAAACGGAUUGAUAGUUCACUUUGCACUGCUCCUUCCUGCACUCCAAAUGGAUGCUUACUUGACAUCCCCUACAGCACUGCACCCGCUCAGAAGGAAUACUCAAAAUUCAUUCCUCCACACUUUGCGACAGAGGGCUGAAGAAACUCACUUCUGUAUGGCAGGAAGGACCGUCCGUCCCUGUUGCGUCCCUCUGUGCGCUGCAAGGCGCGGUUGGAUCUC